rnacentral:rRNA from 1 species
GACGAACGCUGGCGGCGUGCCUAAUACAUGCAAGUAGAACGCUGAAGGAGGAGCUUGCUUCUCUGGAUGAGUUGCGAACGGGUGAGUAACGCGUAGGUAACCUGCCUGGUAGCGGGGGAUAACUAUUGGAAACGAUAGCUAAUACCGCAUAAGAGUAGAUGUUGCAUGACAUUUGCUUAAAAGUUGCAAUUUCAUCACUACCAGAAGGACCUGCGUUGUAUUAGCUAGUUGGUGGGGGAAAGGCUCAACAAGGCGACGAUACAUAGCCGACCUGAGAGGGUGAGCGGCCACACUGGGAAUGAGGCAAGGCCCAGACCUCUACGGGAGGCAGCAGUAGGGAAUCUUCGGCAAUGGACGGAAGUCUGACCGAGCAACGCCGGGUGAGUGAAGAAGGUUUUCGGAUCGUAAAGCUCUGUUGUAAGAGAAGAAAGAGUGUGAGAGUAGAAAGUUCACACUGUGACGGUAUCUUACCAGAAAGGGACGGCUAACUACGUG